rnacentral:lncRNA from 1 species
UAUAUAAAGAACUCAAGAGUAGAAUAAUCUGAUCUAUUUACUCAGAUAUUUACCAUUUCUACUGCUUUUCCUUUGUUCCAGGUUUCCUGAAGUUUUCUGUAACCAUUUAUUUAAACCAGCUCUUCAGGCAAUUACUCUGUGUAUUGCAUCAUCGUUAUUUCUGUUUCAUUCCUAAAGGAUAUUUUGCUGGAUACAGCAAUCUGGGUGGGCAUUUCUUUUUAUGUCAGAACUUGAAGAAUGGUCCUACAUUUCCUGUUGGCCUCUAUGGCUUCUGAGAAACCCGGUCAACUGAAUUGUUCUUCGGGAAGCACUGUGUCCAUUUUCUCAGCCUCCUCCCAAGGCUUUCACUCUGCAGCUUUCAGCGGUUCCAUGUGGUAGGUCUGGGCUUGGUCUUCUGUAGGUUCAUCCUGUCUGGGGCUCAUGGAACCUCUUCAGAGUUUUUAUCUUACACCAAAUAUGAGAAGUUUUUCAUCAUGAUUUUUUCAAGUGGUUUUACUACAUCACACUUUCUCCUUUCCUUCCAGGAUUCUGAGGCCAUGAAUGUCAGCCAUUUUGUGUCAUAACACUGCUCCCCAAGGCUGUUGCACCUAUGCUGAAUAAUUUCAGAUUGUAGUCUAGACACUUUGGAAUUUCACAUUAUGACACUCUGGGUCUGUAAAUCCCAUGGGUGAUGGAGAUAUUGGUUAAUCAGGUGAGUGACCUACUUAGGUUCAGGAGGCAAGUUUUAUUGAACAUUGUGUGGGUUGUGCUUUCAAUGUCAAUUCCAUUCUCAAAGCCUAUGCAGAGGUGCUCGUGUCUCUUCUAGGGGCGGGGCUUGUCCACCCACAGAGUGGUCAACCUCACAGGCCAGCUCCUAAGGCCAAUGAUGUCUUUGCUGCUGCAGGACUGCCUGGAGACCAGGGCAAGUGAACGGGAAAAACUAAACUUUGGGAUUUUUCUCUCUUACUAGUGUUAGGACACCUGUUUCCCACUGGUUGUGUGAAAACAGAAGUCGGCAUGAGUCCCCCAUCUGGAGCCUAGCGGAUGCUGGUGCCAUGCUUUUGGGACCUUCCGGCCUUCAGAAUUGUGAACCAAAUAAAUCUCUUUUCUUCAUUAAAAAAACAGAG